CAGCCGCCGCGGGAAAACGGAGGGUGCAAGCGUUAAUCGGGAUUACUGGGCGUAAAGCGUGCGUAGGCGGUUCGUUAAGUCUGUUGUGAAAGCCCCGGGCUCAACCUGGGAAUGGCAAUGGAUACUGGGUCACUAGAGUGUGGUAGAGGAUAGUGGAAUUUCCGGUGUAGCAGUGAAAUGCGUAGAGAUCGGAAGGAACAUCUGUGGCGAAGGCGACUAUCUGGGCCAACACUGACACUGAGGCACGAAAGCGUGGGGAGCAAACAGGAUUAGAGACCCGCGUAGUCCCUGUCUCUUAUAC
rnacentral:rRNA from 1 species